rnacentral:misc_RNA from 1 species
GUGAAACGGACUGAAAAGUCUUGGAUCUAUUCCAAACCUCUUUAUGUGAACUGUGGCCUUUGGGCCUAAUUUAUCAAAACAUUAUCAGUCUAGAACGUAUUAUACCAAAACUAAACA